rnacentral:rRNA from 1 species
AGUGAACGCUGGCGGUAGGCCUAACACAUGCAAGUCGAACGGCAGCACAGUAAGAGCUUGCUCUUACGGGUGGCGAGUGGCGGACGGGUGAGGAAUACAUCGGAAUCUACUUUUUCGUGGGGGAUAACGUAGGGAAACUUACGCUAAUACCGCAUACGACCUACGGGUGAAAGCAGGGGAUCUUCGGACCUUGCGCGAUUGAAUGAGCCGAUGUCGGAUUAGUUAGUUGGCGGGGUAAAGGCCCACCAAGUCGACGAUCCGUAGCUGGUCUGAGAGGAUGAUCAGCCGCACUGGAAGUGAGACACGGUCAAGACUCCUACGGGAGGGAGCAGUGGGGAAUAUUGGACAGUGGGCGCAAGCCUGAUCCAGCCAUACCGCGUGGGUGAAGAAGGCCUUCGGGUUGUAAAGACCUUUUGUUGGGAAAGAAAAGCAGCAGGUUAAUACCCAGCUGUUCUGACGGUACCCAAAGAAUAAGCACCGGCUAACUUCGUG